rnacentral:tRNA from 1 species
GGAAGCGUGCCCGAAAGUUAAGGACCUCCUUGAUAGGG